GACGAACGCUGGCGGCGUGGAUUAGGCAUGCAAGUCGGACGGUAGGGCUUUAUCGUAAGAUAGAGUUUGAGAGUGGCGAACUGGUGAGUAACACGUAGGUUAUCUACCCUCAAGACGGGGACAACCCAGGGAAACUUGGGCUAAUACCGGAUGUGAGCAACUUUUAGUUGUUUGAAAGGUGGCGUAAGCUGUCGCUUGGGGAUGAGCCUGCGUCCUAUUAGUUAGUUGGUGAGGUAACGGCUCACCUAGGCAAUGAUAGGUAGGCGGCCUUAACGGGUGGUCGCCCACACUGGGAUUGAGAUACGGCCCAGACUCCUACGGGAGGCAGCAGUCGAGAAUAGUCUACAAUGGUCGGAAGACUGAUAGUGCGACGCCGCGUGAACGAUGAAUCCCUUCGGGGUGUAAAGUUCUUUUAUAUGUGAGCAGUGCUUCUUAUAUUAACAGUAUGGGGAAGAGAUAUUAGCAUAUGAAUAAGCAACGGCUAACUCCGUGCCAGCAGCCGA
rnacentral:rRNA from 1 species